ACUUUCCAUUUCCUAACAUUUAUAUUGCACGGGUUUUUUGGAUCACUCGCCGCCCAAUCUCAGAUCUGCACAGUCGUGCACUGUUUUUCUAGUCUGUAAACAAUUUUUUUACAGGAAGUACGUGGGAUCUUGGGAUACCAAUGGUACGAGCAGCUUUAUUAACAGCGGUCUCUAUAGGUGCACUUGUGAAUACUUUUUGAACGUUGUCAAUCUCCAAAUAACAUAUUUUGUCAAUGUGGGACUUGAAAAUCGUGUACCUCUUUCAACAACAACGCUUUUCAUCUUCCACAAUGCUGAUAGAACAUUCUUUGAAAGAAAGUCCAAGGAUGUACUGUCAAGGACGAAUGCAACCACAUGCAUUUUUUCCCCCACUGUGGGCUUCUCAACAAAGCCUUUGGUGAAUGUUUUCACGGAAAAUUCUUGAAACUAAAACACGUCAAUAAAUGUUUGAAACCAUAUGAAUUACCUAUGUAUGAAAAUAAAUUGGUAGUUUGUAU
rnacentral:sRNA from 1 species